rnacentral:rRNA from 1 species
GACGAACGCUGGCGGCGUGCUUAACACAUGCAAGUCGAACGAAGUGGAGAACGGGUGAGUACUACGUGGGUAACCUGCCCUCCUUUUUGGGAUAAGCCUUGGAAACGGGGUGUAAUACCGAAAAUAGGGGGAGGGGCUCGCGGCUUAUCAGCUUGUUGGGGGGGUGAUGGCCUACCAAGGCGGUGACGGGUAGCCGGCCUGGGAGGUAGACCGGCCACAUGGGGACUGAGAUACGGCCCAGACUCCUACGGGAGGCAGCAGUGGGGGAUAUUGGACAAUGGGCGAAAGCCUGAUGCAGCGACGCCGCGUGUGGGAUGAAGGCCUUCGGGUUGUAAAGUACUUUUAGUCGGGAGGCGUUACCGGCAGAAUAAGCACCGGCUAACUCCGUGCCAGCAGCCGCGGUAAUAC